UGGGAAGAUGGCUGAGGGGCUUAAAGCGUUAGAUUGCUAAUCUAUUGUACAAAAAUUUUUGUACCGAGGGUUCGAAUCCCUCUCUUUCCGAUAU
rnacentral:tRNA from 1 species